rnacentral:lncRNA from 1 species
AAAGUGGCUGUGCCAUUUCACACUAUCACCAGCAGUAAGUGUCCUUGUUGCUUUACAUCCUUUCUAGCAAUUGGUAAUGUCAGCUACCUGGAUUUUAGCCAUUGUUAUAGUUGAAAAUAUAAUUUUGCUUUCUUUUGUUUUUGGAGACAGGGUUUCAUUAUGUGGCCCAGGCUGGUCUUGAACUCACAAUCCUGCCACAGCUUCCUGAAUCCUAGGAUUUCCAUGACCAGCCUGGAAAUACAAUUUAAAAAAAAGGAUCUUGACACAUACACAAUGCCAUAUUUCUCUAUAGAAAGGAUUGAACCCAAUAUCUUCACAAUGAGCUACAUUUCCAGCCUUCUAAAUUACUUUAAAAAAUUUUGACACAAGGUCUUGCUACAUUGCUAAAUUGCCCAGGCUAAGGGCCAGGGAUUUAGCUCAGUGGUUCUGCCACCUGCCUCGCAAGCACAAGGUCCUGAGUUCGAUCCCUGGGACCAAAAAAAAAAAAGAAAAAUUUCCCAGGCUAGAUUUGAACUUGUGAUCCUCUUGCUUCAGCCUCCUAGGGCACUGGGAUUCCAGCAGGCGGCGAAUGCUUCUGUUUUUUGGAGGAGCUCCAGUUUUCACUUUCACCUUUGACAUCAUCUCCUGGCUUCCAGCACAGACUCUUCAGUUUCUGGCUUCUGGUGUAAACUCUUCAGCCUUCCAUUGCAGACACAUCAGCCUCCUGAUAUGGACUCGAAAGGGACAUUGCAGUGAGCUCCAGACCUUCGACUACAGAGCCAAGACUGCAGAAACACAAACACAGGCCUUCAUAAUUCUAUUGGCUGAACUACAACAUAAGCUUAACGCUCAGGCUCCAAAGUACCAGGGAUAGAACUGAGGACCUUGUGCUUUCGAGGCUCUCGCUAUGUAGUUCAGGCUGGUCUUGAACUCGUGGCAAUCCUCCUGCCUCAGGCACUCCAGUGCUGGGAUUACAGGUCUACGCCACCAAGCCCGGCUAAACUUCUCUUUAUUGACAAAAGAGAUAGAGGAGGAAGCACAGACAUGUACAGAUGGGGAGAGAUCCUUAGAAGGGAAGACCUCCUUUGGUUAGCUUUGCGAUCUGGCUAGAAUUGGUUUGGCUGGCAGAACCUACACCGGGCGAAGGACGCAUGAAAUCCGAAGAGGAGGCAGUAGCUAACAAAAAUGAGUCUUUCCUAUAACUUUGGCACUUUUCUUGCUGCUGUGUUAUCACAUGAUUUAUUCAUACCCACCCAAUAAAAGGAAGAUGCCAAUAUCACUCCCAUUUUACAAGGAAUAACAUCAAUCGCGCCGAGGUCACCCAGCACAAAAGUGGCAGUGUUAGAACUCAAAAUUGCUUCACAGCACGCAGCGUUCAGUCAGGCGGUCGGAUUCUGUGCGCUGGUCGUCACCCGCCUUGCCACCUCCUUCGUGGGACAGUUCCCGGUACUGAGGGAUGGCGCUGUCCAGCCCGCGGACCCGCCGUCUGCCCCUGGCAAGAGAACGCGGCCCCGCGGGGCGAUCGCGCCCAAUGCUGGAG